rnacentral:rRNA from 1 species
UACGAAGGGGGCUAGCGUUGUUCGGAAUUACUGGGCGUAAAGGGCGCGUAGGCGGCUCUGUUAGUCAGGCGUGAAAUUCCUGGGCUCAACCUGGGGACUGCGCUUGAUACGGCGGAGCUAGAGGAUGGAAGAGGCUCGCGGAAUUCCCAGUGUAGAGGUGAAAUUCGUAGAUAUUGGGAAGAACACCGGUGGCGAAGGCGGCGAGCUGGUCCAUUACUGACGCUGAGGCGCGACAGCGUGGGGAGCAAACAGG